GAUAAUUGUUAUUGUUAUGGCUCUAUAAACGAAAAAGCUCUACUCUCAUAAAACCCAUUUCUCGAGGAGGAGAGGACCCCUCCAUUUCUCUUUCAUCCCUUACUCCAAUCCAUCGCUAAUCUUGCCUUCGCACAAAGGGCUUUCGCUCUCAUCCCUUCAAUCGUUCGAUUUCUUCUGCUGAACCCUGCGCUACCCUCGAUUCAUUUUUCCAGUCUCUCUUUCGCGUCCCCAUGAAUGUCCUGAGCACGACGAUGAGGUGGGAGAAGGUGCAGCACCAGCAGGAGCCGAAGGUUGAGAAUGGCGGCCCCGGGAUGAGGUGGGGCCACACAUGCAACGCCGUCGGAGGAGGAAAGCGUCUCUAUGUUUUCGGUGGCUAUGGGAGAGAUCACGGCCAUACUAAUCAAGUCCAUGUCUACGAUACUGUUGGUAUGUUUUGGAAUGAGCCGGUGAUGAAGGGCAUGCCGCCAUGCCCGAGGGACAGCCAUAGCUGUACAACACUAGGAGCUCAUCUGUUUGUAUUUGGUGGUACGGAUGGCAGCAGGCCGCUUAACGAUUUAUAUAUCUUGGAUACCUCUUCCAAUACAUGGAUCUUUCCAACUGUAAGGGGUGAUGGUCCAGAGCCAAGAGAAGGUCAUAGCGCCGCCAUUAUUGGUAGAAGGCUCUUCAUAUUUGGUGGAUGUGGAAAGUCUGGAGAUGAAGAGAUCUACUAUGAUGAUCUUUACAUUUUGAAUACUGAAACCUUUGUAUGGAAACGUGUAGUGCCAUCCGGCACUCCUCCAACUAAGAGAAACAGUCAUACCUGCUCAUCUUGGAGAAACAAAAUCAUUGUCAUAGGGGGUGAAGAUGCAUAUGAUUACUAUCUGUCAGAUGUCCAUGUGCUUGAUUGUGAUACUCUAGUCUGGUGCAAGUUGAAUACUACCGGUCAGCUGUUGCCGCCCCGUGGUGGCCACACAACUAUCAGUUUCGGCAAGAAUUUGUUCGUCUUUGGGGGUUUUUCAGAUGAGCAGAACUUAUAUGAUGAUGUCUAUAUGUUUGACAUUGAAAAUAGUACAUGGGCAAAAAUUGCUGCAAUUGGGGAGGGCCCUUCUGGCAGGUUUUCAAUGGCUGGUGACACCUUGGAUCCCCUUAUGGGCGGUGUCCUUGUUUUUAUGGGUGGCUGCAAUAAAAAUCUCGAACCACUGGAUGACAUGUAUUACUUGUACACAGGGCUUUCUAGAGAAAAUGAACAUGAUGAAAGGCGGGGUGAGAAGCUAUCAUUGAGAAAACAACUGAAGUUGAAAUGCCGAGAGCAACUUGCUGGUAAUCCUGCAUAUGAGAGGAAUUCGUUUGGAGUGCAACGCGAACAGGAUACUACUGUUUACCAGCCCAUGCCAAUUUCUAGUUAUAUGCCAUCAGGCAGGCAAACUUUCUAUUUGAAUGAAUACCAGAAACCUUUGGGAAAGAGGACUUUUCAAGCGAAAAUCACUAAAAAUCUUUCUAAUGGAUAUUCUAUAGAAACUAUCAUUGAUGGAAAGCCUCUUCGAGGAUUACUAUUUUCCAACAAACCAAGUUCCAUUAGGAUGGGUGCUGGUGAUCCCAUAAGGAAGAUGGAACCCGUGAAGAAUGAUGGUCCUAAUGGUCUUGGUGCUCAUAAUUCUUCUGUAGAAACUGAUAAAGCUUUGCAGGAUCAAUCAGAUGCUAGUCGGAACAAAGCUGAAGUACCUGCUGCCCAUGCCGUAUCUGCUUCUGCAACUAAGGAUCCAGCUGCUGAACUAUCGAAGCCCCAGGAGCAGGAUCCUGGACAAUCGGAACCUAUGGCCCUGGAUAUUAAUAUGGAGAUUGAUGCAUCUAAUCAUCCAUCAUCUUCUAGUGCUGAAAUUCCAAAUGAGAAUGCUUCUAUUGUUGGUGGUGAUCAAAUCAACCCCUCAAAUUGAGGUACAAAUAGAAAAUGCUAAACGUUGCAAGUCAGACUACAGGCUCUCUUACAACAUUUUUAUUAGUUAAUACGGCAAACCUGUCUUCGAACGAAACUGCAUUUGCCCUUGUACUUGUAUAGCUCCUGACUAUGGAACAGCCGAGGUUGCUGGCCUCCCAUUUUAACACGUGGAUAUGCUUCCGCAGAUUUUGGUUGCUCUACCGUAGGAUCUGACUAGUUGCCGAAGUGUAUAUUCUCGACGCGCUGCUGAGGCUUCCGAAUGUCCGGUGGGAUAGCGCCGGUGCUCAACGGAGGGCCCUCUGAGGUGGUUUUAUUACAGGAAGCAGGAGAUGCCUUUCUGAUGUGGAUGAGAAGACUAAAGUCUUGUGAUGCAUUUGAAGAGGUAAGAAACUAUGUAUUUAAUCUUUUUGCCUUAUUGGGGAACAAUAUAACCUCUUUUUGUGUAAUUUGGUGUAUUUAAAUUAUGGUUCGAUAUAUAUAUAUCAUAUCGUUUAUAAAUAUUUAAUAAAUUUACAAUAUAAUUCGAUAUAUAAUUGCUUAACAAUUUUUAUCGGAUAGUUGAGUGCAUCUUCAUAAUGCUACCAAAACCAAUGUUUGUAAGUUGUUUGGCUGUAGUUUGAAAUUAAUUUGAAAUGAAAUGUUAGAUUUGAGGUUUUUGUUUAAAUAGGAUUUUGAUGUGAUAUUUUGUAAGAGAAUAGUGUAACCUCACAGUUUGAAAUACAAAAGAACAAAUUCCAAGUAGCAACAUAAUGAAGCUAGGAUUUGAGUUGUUUGCAUGGUCGAGUUGGUGUGUUUGGCUGGUGAUUGUAAGAUCACUUAUUUUGAAUUCUAUUGAUGCUUUAUCGUCGAGCCUGUCACCAUGAACUUGCUUAAGGUGGGUGACUUUCUUGGCUAUCAUAGUUUGUAAGUACUUAAACUUUGGAUUCAACCGGCUGAUCGAGUUAGUCUAUUGUUUGGCUGGCAUUGUAAUGUUGCUUGUUUGAAUUCUACCGAGUAUUACAUUCUAGAUUUGCUUAAGGUGACUUUUUCGGCCAUCGUAAUUUGUUAGUUUUUUACAUUUAAAUUGAACUCGAUUAGCUAGAUGGUAUGUUUUCAAUUUA